GGCCCAACGAGGUGUGAAACACAUAGGAUUGCAAAUCCUGAGUAGCAGGUUUUCGCCUGCCUGGGCUU
rnacentral:tRNA from 1 species